ensembl:lncRNA
AGUAUAUAAUGGGUUUCAGGCAACGCUUUAGAAAUUUGUUGAGCUUAGCGAACCUAAGAGAUGUAUUAAUCAUUAAAGCACUUUCCAUGCAAGCAUGAGGACUCAAGUUCAAUUCCCAGCACCCAUGAAAAAGCUAGGCAUUGUGCCUGUAACCCUGGAGCUCUGGAGAGGAAGAGGCGGGACGAUCCUUGGGGCUUGCAGGGCAGCCAAUCCAAGUAGGUGAAUUUCAGAGUCAGUGAGAGAGACCCUGUCUUUAAAAAUAAGGAAGAGCUCUGGGCUGUGGUGGGGCACACCUUUAUUCCCAGCACUCAGGAGGCAGAGGCAGGUGGAUUUCUGAGUUCAAGGACAGCCAGGGAUACACAGAGAAACAUUGUCUCAAAAAAAGGAGAGGGAGAGAGGGAAUGAGAGAAUGAGGAAGAUGAUCAGUGUUGACCUCUGACCUAUGUGUGUACAUAGGCUCACACACAUGAGCAAUGCAAGCAUACAUGUGCAUAAAAUCUGUGCUUAGUCAUCUGUAUCUCACCGAUCACAGUGAUAACAACUUUUACCAUGAAGCCCUCUGAGCUCAGAGAGUCGUAGUAGCCAUUAUGCCAUCCAACCCUCAGGAAACCUUGAUCCUGUUUUAGAGAUAAGGCUGUACAGUGGCCAUCCUGUUGUCCCGGACCUUCAGUAAAUACCGAGGAGACCACUGGUUGCCAAGUGACAGGACGAAGCGAUAAUCUUAUUUAUCAGGAGCCAUCAGGAGCUCUACAGGAAACAUUAACUCUUUGGGGGACAGCCUCGUUUUUCCAUUUGACCGUUAACGUUUAACUCUUUGGGGGGACAGCCUCAUUUUCCAUUUGACCGUUAACCGUGCUGCAGAAAAGUCAGAGGCCUACACAAGUCUGUUGGUGGUACCACUAUUUCUUCUCCGAUUUUGGCUCCCAAGUGCAGUUUCUUUCAUGUGAUUUUUCAGACAUAUUGGAAAGUGGGAGUUGCUCUGUUGACUCUCCGGCCAUUUCCCAGGAUGGAUUACUUCUGUCUAAAAUAAGGGGGAUCUGAUUAGUCGUCACAUGCAGGUACUGGGAAGCUGAGGCAGCGGGUGAGGAUUUCAGGGCCUCUUCAGCAGGCUCAAGGCUAGUCUGAGGUUCUGACUCCUGGGGCCUUGGCCUGGAACCAUGGGAGAUGGUGUGUUUCCCUGGGCAUCAUGCUUGCUCCUCGCUGCUCACUGCGUUCUUAACUUGAGGGUCUUUGUUUAGUUUCUUCACUUGUUCUAGGCAAAGCCAGGCUACCUUCUACACUGAGUAUCUUGUAUUGCUGGGCAGUACUGUCUCUAAGUGGAAGUACUGUGUAUAGAUGAAAAGUUCUGUCUAUAGGUAGAAGUAGUGUGUAUGGCUGGGCAGUACUGUAAGAUAGAAGUACUGUGCAUAGCUGCAGUACUGUCUGUGGGUAGAAGUACUGUGUAUGGCUGGGCAGUACUGUCUGGGUAGAAGUACUGUGUAUGGCUGGGCAUACUGUCUGUGGGUAGAAGUACUGUGUAUGGCUGGGCAUACUGUCUGUGGGUAGAAGUAUUGUGUAUGGCUGAGCAGUACCGUCUAUAGGUAAAGGGAGAAAGCUAGCACAAGUUAGGUUUCCUAGGGUUUUGUUUUUUUGUUUUUGUUUUUGUUUUUGUUUUUUGUGAGCUACGGCACUGUAAUUUGCAGACAGACAUGGCUGAGGCCUGAUGAGAAUGCUCAGUUACCGGGGCCUCAAUACCGUGGGGAGCACUGCCCAGCCCUAGACUCUCCCUGCUGUCAGUACAGAACUUUUCGGGUCGUCCCCAGGAAACAAGUUUCAUAUAUGUUUUUCUAGGUCAUUAGUGAAGAGAGACAUUCAUCUGGUGCCUCCCAGAAACCUCAGCUCCACGUGCUCAUUCCUUUGUGCAGCAAAUGUUUAUUGCAUACAUAGUUGGCGCCAGGCACUGUGCCAAGUCCGGGAAGACAGAAGAAUGUGCCAGAGCAUUGGUAGGUGCUCUCGUGGAGGCCUGUGUGGGCUUUGCAGGGACUGCGAGAAAGGAAGCUGUCCUUAAGUUCCUCCCGAGGAAGCCCUUUUCUGGCUCCUGCCCCACCCUCAACUCCCUGGAACUUUCAGUCUUUCUCCCCUGCCAACAGGGGAUCCUUCUGUGGAAGUAGGAACAAGGCCAUUCAAAUCCCAGCAGUUUGCAUUUGGGGGUGGGGUGGGAGAGGGAUAGGACACUUUUGCCCUGCAGGGCACAUUUGACUUGGAGACAUUUUAGCGAGGAACAGCGAAGGCUUUUGCAGAUAGAGAUUAGGGAUUCGAUCAGCCAGUGUACAGUGCACAGGGCAACCUUACCCCGAAGAGAUUACCGGAGCUUGGUGUUGAAAAACCAUACUCUUAGGGUUUUGGUAUUGCCCUGUCAGGGAGUCACCACAUGUCCACUGAUGGCAGAAUUCUUGUUGAACACUGUAAUUAUGUGAAGCCUCACCUGCAAAGGAGAGAACUAAAGGUCUGUAUGUAACACGGUCCUGAGGAUUUCAGGAGUUGAUAGAGGAUGAGGGCUUGGACCACCACUUGGCAGACAGUGAGACCUUAACCGGUAGAAUUACUCUUGGCUUACUAAGAUUUGCCUUUUGAACCAAAGAGCUCAACUUUGGGGAACCCGUUGUAGUGCUGCCUCCCAGGCGUGCUUUGGCGUAAGAACUGUUUGUAGGUUUCCCCUUUUGUCAGUAUUUCCCACUGUUCCCACUCCUUUGAUUCGAAGGCUUUCAGUAGCUUUGCCUUUUAUCCCUUUUCCCAGGGACCCAAAUUUCUGUCCUUGCCAAGCCUUCCCCUAGAGGGCUGAGAGUAUAUUUAUGAUCUUCCUUAGCUCCGUCUAUUUCGGGAAUGGUGAGAAAGCGGGAAGCAGGUCAGGGGGAGCUGCUGCAUCGCGUCCUGCCUGCCAGGGCUUCCUCCACCAUGAGAGUCCUAGGUGGGAGGCAGGUGGUAGUGCCUGCUCGUAAGUCUCCCCUCAGCACCCACCAGCUAAGUGCCUGCUACUUCCAAAAUACCCAGUAAUUGGGUCACACAUCAUCUGGCUGCCAGGAAUCAUCUGAAAAAUCAAAGCAAAGACGCAGUGAGAUUUGAAACACCUCUGCCCCCCUGCUUUAUGGUGAUUCCAAAAUUAGAAAUAUAGGGAAGCGGUCUUGUCGUCUCAGGUAGGUAGCUGUGUCCUUGUGGCCUGGAACUCUAUCUUAUUUUUACUUUUGUAAAAAGUAUGUGGAGCCCUUUUACAGGGAGACGAGCCUUUGUGGACUCCAUUCAGUGGAUUCAGAUUUACUGUCAAAUUUUCAUUUGGUUUUGGAUGCUGUCAACAGACUGCAGAGAAUGUAAGGAACCAGGUGUCUUAGUCACUGUUCUGUUGCUGUGAAGAGACACCAUGACCAAGGCAGCUUAUAAGAGAAGGCAUUUAACUGGGGACUCGCUUACAGUUGGAGACAAGAUGGGAGAGAGCGAGG